UUUACUUAAACUUUCUAGAUGAUCCCUAAUGGGAUUAAAGUCCUUCACAGGAAGGCAGAAGCAGGCUAUUCAAAACAAGGUCAAGCUCCCUCCCCCGCUUUUUUUCUUGGUAAGCGCAGAAAUCAACAAAAAUGUUAUAUAACUUCUAUUUAUAUCUAACUUGCACACUAGCUGCAGGCAUACAAGAGAAGCUGAGGAGGAAAUUUAAUGAGCUCUCAAGGCGUGCUCACCUUCCCAGGCUGGUAGAAACAGCAUGAGUUUCUCCUUCCUCCUCUCUCCC
rnacentral:sRNA from 1 species